rnacentral:rRNA from 1 species
UACGGGGGGAGCAAGCGUUGUUCGGAUUUACUGGGCGUAAAGGGCGCGGAGGCGGCCAGCGCAAGUCAGUUGUGAAAUCUCCGGGCUUAACUCGGAACGGUCAACUGAUACUGCGCGGCUAGAGUGCAGAAGGGGCAACUGGAAUUCUCGGUGUAGCGGUGAAAUGCGUAGAUAUCGAGAGGAACACCUGCGGCGAAGGCGGGUUGCUGGGCUGACACUGACGCUGAGGCGCGAAAGCUAGGGGAGCGAACGGG